AGGAAAGACAGUUCUCACGGGAUUAGGGUAUUAAAUAGAAGAAUGUGGACAUUUUUCGCAGUAAACAUUUUUAUUUUCAUUGAUGUUAACAAACUUAAUAUUUUAUCAUCCAAAUGUAGAAUAUCACUGUGACAGCUAUAUUGACUAUUGAGGGACACCAGUUACAUAAGUUCUGCCACUCCUACUCAGGCUCCAACGGCCGUGAUUGGUCUGAUGCCAUGCGGCCCUCAAAGUAGAGACACGGUCACUCUUGGCUGUCUUGCCACUGGUUUCACCCCCUCUUCAUUGACUUUCUCGUGGACUCAGGGCGGCAACAAUUUGGAAAAUAUCACACAGUACCCUUCAAUGCUGAAAAAUGACAAAUAUUUUGGAAUCAGUCAGGUUCAAGUCAGCCGACAGGACUGGGACGCCAAAAAGACUUUCAAGUGUGUUGCCAAUCAUGUAGGAGAGAGAACAACGUCUCCUAUUACUAAGCCAGAUGUCCUGUUUAGGUCGCCCAAUCUCACAACAAGUUUUUUCCUUGAUGAAGAAAAGCAACAGGCUUCUUUCUACUGCUUUGCCAAAGAUUUUUCUCCUAGGACCCAUGAGAUCAUUUGGCAGAAAGUUGGCAGUGAAAAAGCCAGCAUCCUUGAUGAGACCAGUGUUUUCUCAGAGGGAAGAAAUGACACAAAUGGAGCUAAGCUGUAUUCUGCAGCAAGUUUGCUCACAGUAAACCCCACUGAGCUGACUUCUGGAGCAACAUUUACAUGUGUGUUCAAGGGGAAAGGUGUGAACAAUACUGACGUGUUGGAAAAGGCUAAUGCCACCUACAAGGAAGAAUCUUCUGGAGGAAGUGCAGGAUGUACUCAGGCAGCUGUAGACUUAAAAAUCAUUGGCCCUACAUACAGGGACAUUCUUGUAAAACAAAGUGGAAAAAUAACAUGCCAAAUUCAAGUAAAUAACGGUCGGCUUGAAAAGAUUUUUUGGGAGAAUCAAGAUAACGUAGAAAUGGCUGGAACUGUAAAGACUGAAGGGUUAAAAAAGAAGGAGGAGCUUGUGCUUGACAUCACAUAUGAUGAAUGGCAUCAGGGAGUCGAACGCUACUGUGUUGUCCAACAUAAAGACAUUCUUUUCCCAUUCAAGAUCCAAUACAAGAGACAAAACAGCGGACCUGUUCAGCGUCCUUCAGUGUUUAUGUUGCCUCCUGUAGAACAUGCUAAAAACAAAGAGGUGACCCUGACUUGCUCUGUGAAAGACUUCUUCCCUGAGGAGGUAUUCGUAGCUUGGCUUGUUGAUGAUGAUGUAGUAGACUCAAAGUACAAGACCAGUACCACCAGUCCAGUAGAGAAAGAAGGAUCUUACUUGGUUUACAGCCAGUUAACCCUCACAGAUGAUCAGUGGAAACAGUCUGGUGUGGUGUACAGCUGUGCUGUUUACCACGAGUCCAUUACCAACUCCACCAGAUCCAUUGUCAGAUCCAUUGGUUUCAGCACAGCUGAUAAAAACAACCUGGUCAACCUCAACCUGAACAUCUCUGAAAAGUGCAAGGCGUAGUAGAUGUUGUUUGUUGUUGUCUACUUUUUCUUUCCUGUUUGUACUUUGUGAUGAGUCAU